rnacentral:rRNA from 1 species
AUUGAACGCUGGCGGCAGGCCUAACACAUGCAAGUCGAGCGAGCGGCGGACGGGUGAGUAAUGUAUGGGGACUGCCCGAUAGAGGGGGAUAACUACUGGAAACGGUGGCUAAUACCGCAUACUAUCGGAUAACCCAUAUGGGAUUAGCUAGUAGGUGGGGUAAAGGCUCACCUAGGCGACGAUCUCUAGCUGGUCUGAGAGGAUGAUCAGCCACACUGGGACUGAGACACGGCCCAGACUCCUACGGAGGCAGCAGUGGGGAAUAUUCGGCAAUGGGCGAAAGUCUGAUCCAGCAAUGCCGCGUGAGUGAAGAAGGUUUUCGGGUCGUAAAGCUCUGUUGGUGGGGAAGCGGUAUCUAACCAGGAAGCAACGGCUAACUACGUGCCAGCAGCCGCGGUAAUAC